rnacentral:rRNA from 1 species
CCUACGGGUGGCAGCAGUGGGGAAUAUUGGACAAUGGGCGAAAGCCUGAUCCAGCCAUGCCGCGUGUGUGAAGAAGGCCUUCGGGUUGUAAAGCACUUUCAGUGGGGAAGAAAGCCUUGGGGCUAAUACCCUCGAGGAAGGACAUCACCCACAGAAGAAGCACCGGCUAACUCCGUGCCAGCAGCCGCGGUAAUACAGGAGGGUGCGAGCGUUAAUCGGAAUUACUGGGCGUAAAGCGCGCGUAGGCGGUCUGAUAAGCCGGUUGUGAAAGCCCCGGGCUCAACCUGGGAACGGCAUCCGGAUCUGUCAGGCUAGAGUGCAGGAGAGGAAGGUAGAAUUCCCGGUGUAGCGGUGAAAUGCGUAGAGAUCGGGAGGAAUACCAGUGGCGAAGGCGGCCUUCUGGACUGACACUGACGCUGAGGUGCGAAAGCGUGGGUAGCAAACAGGAUUAGAUACCCCAGUAGUC